CAACAAAAAGCCAAAUAGCGGCAUUUAAUUGUUAAUUAAAAAAAUGUAAUUUAUUACUUUGUUGG
rnacentral:tRNA from 1 species